UAUUGCACAAUGGGCGAAAGCCUGAUGCAGCAAUGCCGCGUGAGCGAUGAAGGCCUUCGGGUCGUAAAGCUCGGUCCUCAAGGAAGACAAUGACGGUACGUGAGGAGGAAGCCCCGGCUAACUACGUGCCAGCAGCCGCGGUAAUACGUAGGGGGAUAGCGUUAUACGGAAUUACUGGGCGUAAAGGGUGCGUAGGUGGUUUCUUAAGUCAGAGGUGAAAGGCUACGGCUCAACCGUAGUAAGCCUUUGAAACUGGGGAACUUGAGUGCAGGAGAGGAGAGUGGAAUUCCUAGUGUAGCGGUGAAAUGCGUAGAUAUUAGGAGGAACACCAGUUGCGAAGGCGGCUCUCUGGACUGUAACUGACACUGAGGCACGAAAGCGUGGGGAGCAAACA
rnacentral:rRNA from 1 species